CGCCGUGCUGUGUGCUCAUUGCUGUGCACAGGCUCUCUCCAGUUGCUGUGGGCAGCUCGGGCUCCGAGCUGCGUGGGCUUCAGCAGUUGUGGCUCGCAGGUUUGGCUGCUCUUGGCAUGUGGGAUCUUUCCAGACCAGGGAUUGAGCCUGCGUGCCCUGUGUUGGCAGGCAGAUUCUUUGCCACUGGAACCCCGGGGAAACCCACUGGGGUCCUUUGUGAUCUUAGAUAUGCCCUGGUGAUCUUACUGACUUCAUUUUUCUCAGAAGACGGUCCCAUGACGCUUCUCCAGUCAAAAUCCUUCACUUGCUCCCAGUGUCCCAUGUGGAUCAAGUCCAGAGCCCUUUGCAAGGCAUGUAAGGCCCCCGGACCGGCACUGCCUGCAUCUCCCCGGGUUCUGUGUGUGUGCUGUCCCCCAGUGGCUUGAGAACACUUCUGCCUCUCCCUCAACAACAGAAAACACUCAUUCCUCAGGAAACCAAGCCUUUAUCUUCCAGGUUUGCCAUGUUGAGCCCCUUACAUAGUGCAGUACAGCUGACUGUCUCCCUUUUUCUACGUGCUAUUGCAUUUGAGGCAAUGAAGUGCUCUGGUCACAGCUUUUGGAGUCAGACUUGGUUCAGACACUUACUAGCUUGUGAUCUUGGACAAGUUAUAUAACCUCUUGGAGCCUUAGCUGUCUCAAGGGCAAAAUACAAGGAUGCUGCCUACUCCAGGGGUAACCUGAGGACUGAAGCACCGGGUGAGAUGGCACUGUCCUUGCUGUUGUUUUACAGGCUGGGAAGCGGAGACAAGAAAGCGGAGGGACCCCAAGAGGUAUGGGGAUGAGAAGGGCUCAGGUGGAGAGGGGGUGAGGCCUGGCGCCAGGCCGAGGUAUGGGGAUGAGAAGGGUUCCAGUGGAGAGGGGCUGAGGCCUGGCACCAGGCCAUUGGACCCGACGCUGAGCACCCUCCGCAGCUCCACAGGGCACAGCUGCGACGCAUGCUCCUGAUACCCCCUAUUUCCCUCGCUCCUCAGUGAGCUCCCCCAGUCCUCCCAGCGUGGACUCCAACAGGUGAGUCCUAGCAGACACCAGCUUGAGUCCGACGGCCCUCACAUUCCAGCGGUCAGUCCCCGAUUCUCAUGAUGGGAAGACCCUUUGGGGCAGGCUGUACCCCCAAGGAACCCCAACUAUUUGAAAUGCCUCAGUCCAAUCCACACGUCUGGUGCCAUUUGGGGUGCUUGGAAAGCCCCCUACACACAGGCUAGGCUUCCUAUCAGAAAGGGUGGAGGGGCCCCAGUUGUAAAUACCUUUCCUGGGGAGGCGCUGAGAGGGAAGGAGGCAGGGCAGAGCCAGGAGGCAGCCAGGGCUGGGUUUGGCAAUGCUCCCCCUAACGUAUCAGCCAUUCCUCACAGUGUUGGCUUCCACAGCCCCCUUUCCUAACAGUCUCUCAGAGGGCUAAACUAAAGUGGGGCGGGGGCCUGGAUGCAGUGGGGAAGGCCUCCCGCAGUCUGCUCACCAGGGGGCACCCGCUGCCAUGCAAUGCUAGGGUGGGAAGGAACAGCUUGGUCAGCAGGUGGCAGUGUCCUUCCAGGGCCCAGUAAAGAAGAGCAGGUGCCCAGAGAAAGGGAAGAAAAACCCCAUCCUGUCCAGAGCCUGGGUCCCCUUGUCUCUGAAGGUUUGGUGGAGGGGUUACCUCCUCCAGGAGGCUCCCCCUGGCCCCUCAGACAGGUGUUCCUGCCUCAAGAGACAUGAUGAUACCCUUGCGUAGUGAGUGCUGACUCCCCCACAGCUCCUCCAGGGCAGGUAUUUUUUUCAUCUUUGUAGUCCUGGUGUUAGCACAGCUUUUAAGAACAACUUGGAAUCGGGAAGAGGCGCUGUACCAGCUAAAAGGAGGCACAUCCUUUAUGUUUUCACAUCAGUGAGCCAUUCUCUUUCCGCUCUGGGCNNNNNNNNNNNNNNNNNNNNNNNNNNNNNNNNNNNNNNNNNNNNNNNNNNNNNNNNNNNNNNNNNNNNNNNNNNNNNNNNNNNNNNNNNNNNNNNNNNNUUCACAUCAGUGAGCCAUUCUCUUUCCGCUCUGGGCAAAACAGAAAUGAGCAAGAGCUGCAUGAGAUGAGGCUAGGCCUGACAAAGGUCAGGUCGAGGGUAACCUGACAAAGAUGUCAGCUAACGAGUGCAACCUUUUCCCAGCACACGUACGGCGCGUCAACGCUGCAGAGACGGAAAGCGUGCUGUUUUCCUAGGAGUGAGGCGACUGAUCGGGACGAGGUGGUUCGAAGGAGGAACCUUCUCAGAGUGAGCAGCCGAGAAUGAGCGGCCCCUCAGGGUGCCACGUGGCCUGAGAAUGUCAGAGGGACCGCUUUAUGGGGUCCCCUCCACGUAUCCAGACCCCAUCCACCCGAUCCCCGCAUGAGGGUGCCACGGAAAAUAGGAAUAUAGGUUUAAUCAUUGUGCUCCUGCUGUUAACCAGGGUGCAGCGAAUCCACCCUUCGCGGAUGCGGAUGCCACAGUGUCAGUGAGCAAGUUUUGCACGGAAGUGCUCCGGGCCCAUCAGUGACACAGGGCCAGACCUCUGGCGGGGAGGGGUGCCCGGAGGAGAAACGGGGUGAGGAGAAGGGUGGGGAGCAGAUCCUGGGCUAGCAGUCUGCCCCUU
rnacentral:lncRNA from 1 species